rnacentral:rRNA from 1 species
AGAGUUUGAUCCUGGCUCAGAACGAACGCUGGCGGCGUGGAUAAGACAUGCAAGUCGAGCGCUAUACCUGGUGUAGCAAUACAUCAGGUGUGGAGCGGCGCAAGGGUGCGUAACACGUGGGUAAUUUGCCGUGAAGUUGGGGAUAACUCGCUGAAAGGCGAGCUAAUACCGGAUGUGGUUAUUGGGUGGCAUCACCUGGUAACUAAAGCUGGGGAUCGUAAGACCUGGCGCUUCAUGAUAAGCCCGCGGCCUAUCAGCUAGUUGGUGAGGUAACGGCUCACCAAGGCUAAGACGGGUAGCUGGUCUGAGAGGACGACCAGCCACACUGGAACUGAGACACGGUCCAGACACCUACGGGUGGCAGCAGUCGAGAAUUUUUCUCAAUGGGCGCAAGCCUGAAGGAGCGACGCCGCGUGGGGGAUGAAGGGUUUCGAUCCGUAAACCCCUGUCAUUCGUGAACAAUGCUUCAUCAUGAACAAUGGUGAAGUUGAUAGUAGCGAAG